rnacentral:lncRNA from 1 species
CGUGCACAACUCCUUCAGAAAUUUGGCAUACUUGGGUAUCUGCUUGAUGGCAUCGAGUAGAGGUAUGUUCACCUCUACUUUCCUGAAGGUCUCCAGAAUUUCCCUAUCAACCUCUUCAGUCUUUUUACUAGGUAGAGCCCGUGAAGGGAAUGGAAGAGGGAUAGGUCGGUCAAUCAGAGGAGAAGGUGCGGCAGCAGUGGUGGUGGAAGAGGGAGAAGGUCCACCUGAAGAAGAACCACCGGCUGGAGAAGAAGAUCCACCCACCUCACAUGCCCUGCGUGGACCGUCAUGGUCGUCCUCUCUAGGAUAAGUGGCAGGCACGGGUGUAGAUGUAGAAGCGGGCUCAGGAGGCACAACAGUCUGCUUCCCUGACCUGAGGGUAAUGGCACUCACGUUCCUAGGAUUCUGCACAGUCUGGGAGGGUAGUUUAUCAGAAUUUUGAGACUGUGCCUGGUU